rnacentral:rRNA from 1 species
AGAGUUUGAUCAUGGCUCAGGAUGAACGCUGGCGGUAUGCCUAACACAUGCAAGUCGAACGAUGUCUUCGGACAUAGUGGCGGACGGGUGAGUAACGCGUGAGAAUCUGCCUCUAGGAUGGGGAUAACGGUUGGAAACGACCGCUAACACCCAAUAUGCCGUAAGGUGAAAAAUUUAUUGCCUGGAGAGGAGCUCGCGUCUGAUUAGCUAGUUGGUGGGGUAAGAGCUCACCAAGGCUUCGAUCAGUAGCUGGUCUGAGAGGAUGAGCAGCCACACUGGGACUGAGACACGGCCCAGACUCCUACGGGAGGCAGCAGUGGGGAAUUUUCCGCAAUGGGCGAAAGCCUGACGGAGCAAUACCGCGUGAGGGAGGAAUGCCUUUGGGUUGUAAACCCCUUUUCUCAGGGAAGAAGAUCUGACGGUACCUGAGGAAUAAGUAUCGGCUAACUCCGUGCCAGCAGCCGCGGUAAUACGGAGGAUGCAAGCGUUAUCCGGAAUCAUUGGGCGUAAAGCGUCCGCAGGUGGUUUCCAAAGUCUGCUGUUAAAGACUGGAGCUCAACUCCGGAACGGCGGUGGAAACUUGGAAACUAGAGUUCGGUAGGGGUAGCAGGAAUUCCCAGUGUAGCGGUGAAAUGCGUAGAUAUUGGGAAGAACAUCGGUGGCGAAGGCGUGCUACUGGACCGUAACUGACACUCAGGGACGAAAGCUAGGGGAGCGAAAGGGAUUAGAUACCCCUGUAGUCCUAGCUGUAAACGAUGGAAACUAGGUGUGGCUUGUAUCGACCCGAGCCGUGCCGUAGCUAACGCGUUAAGUUUCCCGCCUGGGGA